rnacentral:rRNA from 1 species
GAUGAACGCUGGCGGCGUGCCUAAUACAUGCAAGUCGAGCGAACGGACGAGAAGCUUGCUUUUCUGAUGUUAGCGGCGGACGGGUGAGUAACACGUGGAUAACCUACCUAUAAGACUGGGAUAACUUCGGGAAACCGGAGCUAAUACCGGAUAAUAUUUUGAACCGCAUGGUUCAAAAGUGAAAGACGGUCUUGCUGUCACUAAUAGAUGGAUCCGCGCUGCAUUAGCUAGUUGGUAAGGUAACGGCUUACCAAGGCAACGAUGCAUAGCCGGCCUGAGAGGAUGAUCGGCCACACUGGAACUGAGACACGGUCCAGACUCCUACGGGAGGCAGCAGUAGGGAAUCUUCGGCAAUGGGCGAAAGCCUGACGGAGCAACGCCGCGUGAGUGAUGAAGGUCUUCGGGUCGUAAAACUCUGUUAUUGGGGAAGAACAUAUGUGUAAGUAACUGUGCACAUCUUGACGGUACCUAAUCAGAAAGCAACGGCUAACUACGUG